UACAGAGGGUGCAAGCGUUGUCCGGAAUUAUUGGGCGUAAAGAGCUCGUAGGUGGCUUGUCGCGUCUGCCGUGAAAGCCCGUGGCUUAACUACGGGUCUGCGGUGGAUACGGGCAGGCUAGAGGCUGGUAGGGGCAAGCGGAAUUCCUGGUGUAGCGGUGAAAUGCGCAGAUAUCAGGAGGAACACCGGUGGCGAAGGCGGGUCUCUGGGCCGAUACUGACGCUGAGGAGCGAAAGCGUGGGGAGCGAACAGG
rnacentral:rRNA from 1 species